AUGAAAUUUGGUAGACAUAUUAGAUUUAGAUUCUAAUGAUGAUUAACCAUCGUGAGGGUUCAAAUCCCUCUAUCCGUA
rnacentral:tRNA from 1 species